UACGUAGGGCGCAAGCGUUGUCCGGAAUUAUUGGGCGUAAAGAGCUCGUAGGCGGUCUGUUACGUCCGCUGUGAAAACCCAGGGCUUAACCCUGGGCUUGCAGUGGAUACGGGUAGACUAGAGGCAGGUAGGGGAGAAUGGAAUUCCCGGUGUAGCGGUGAAAUGCGCAGAUAUCGGGAGGAACACCGGUGGCGAAGGCGGUUCUCUGGGCCUGACCUGACGCUGAGGCGCGAAAGCUAGGGGAGCAAACAGG
rnacentral:rRNA from 1 species